rnacentral:rRNA from 1 species
GAAGUGUGGACGCCAGUCUGCAUGGAGCCGGCCUUGAAAUACCACCCUUUAAUGUUUGAUGUUCUAACGUGGACCCGUGAUCCGGGUUGCGGACAGUGUCUGGUGGGUAGUUUGACUGGGGCGGUCUCCUCCUAAAGAGUAACGGAGGAGCACGAAGGUUGGCUAAUCCUGGUCGGACAUCAGGAGGUUAGUGCAAUGGCAUAAGCCAGCUUGACUGCGAGCGUGACGGCGCGAGCAGGUGCGAAAGCAGGUCAUAGUGAUCCGGUGGUUCUGAAUGGAAGGGCCAUCGCUCAACGGAUAAAAGGUACUCCGGGGAUAACAGGCUGAUACCGCCCAAGAGUUCAUAUCGACGGCGGUGUUUGGCACCUCGAUGUCGGCUCAUCACAUCCUGGGGCUGAAGUAGGUCCCAAGGGUAUGGCUGUUCGCCAUUUAAAGUGGUACGCGAGCUGGGUUUAGAACGUCGUGAGACAGUUCGGUCCCUAUCUGCCGUGGGCGCUGGAGAACUGAGGGGGGCUGCUCCUAGUACGAGAGGACCGGAGUGGACGCAUCACUGGUGUUCGGGUUGUCAUGCCAAUGGCACUGCCCGGUAGCUAAAUGCGGAAGAGAUAAGUGCUGAAAGCAUCUAAGCACGAAACUUGCC